rnacentral:rRNA from 1 species
CAACUUUUGGCAACGGAUCUCUUGGUUCUCGCAACGAUGAAGAACGCAGCGAAAUGCGAUAAGUAGUGUGAAUUGCAGAAUUCAGUGAAUCAUCGAAUCUUUGAACGCACAUUGCGCUUCCUGGUAUUCCGGGAAGCAUGCCCGUUUCAGAAUCAAUAAAAAUCUCA